rnacentral:miRNA from 1 species
GUUUCGGUGUGCAUCAUUGCUGAAAUGAAGCCUUAAAAUAACUUCAGGUUAGAGCUGGAGAGAUGGCUCAACCGUUAAAGGCUAGGCUCACAACCAAAAUA